rnacentral:lncRNA from 1 species
CCUCAGGUUCAUGUUAAAGUGCUAAUUUUUAAAUUCCAUCCAAAGGGCAGAAACAGGUCUGAUCCAGAAGUUCUCAUUGGUUGUUGAUGCACCCCAGUCCUUAUCUGUCUCUCAUCUCCAGUCUCACUGCAGUCCAUCCUGCAAACGUCAGAUGGGUCUUCUCCUGGGUCUUCUCCGGCUGCCUUGCGCAUGUGCUUCCCCUGAUACGCAAGACAAUGCCUGAAACGGUCGGCAGAGCUUAGAUCUGUUUUUUUGGCAUCGGUCUCAAGGUUUGAAUCAGAUUAGAUUCAAAAGUA